UACGUAGGGUGCAAGCGUUGUCCGGAAUUAUUGGGCGUAAAGAGCUCGUAGGCGGUUUGUCGCGUCUGGUGUGAAAAUCCAGGGCUUAACCCUGGACCUGCAUCGGGUACGGGCAGACUAGAGGCAGGUAGGGGAGAAUGGAAUUCCCGGUGUAGCGGUGAAAUGCGCAGAUAUCGGGAGGAACACCGGUGGCGAAGGCGGUUCUCUGGGCCUGUACUGACGCUGAGGAGCGAAAGCGUGGGGAGCGAACAGG
rnacentral:rRNA from 1 species